rnacentral:rRNA from 1 species
CCUUUGUACACACCGCCCGUCGCUACUACCGAUUGAAUGGCUUAGUGAGGCCUCUGGAUUGCGCCUGCGGAGUGGGAAACCGCACCACGGGCUCGAGAAGUUGGUCAAACUUGGUCAUUUAGAGG